GGGAAUGACCAGCCACACUGGAACUGAGACACGGUCCAGACUCCUACGGGAGGCAGCAGUGGGGAAGUAUUUGCACAAUGGGGGGAAACCCGUGGAUGCAGCCAUGCCGCGUGAAUGAGAAGGCUUCGGUUGUAAGUUNUUUCGUGACAGGAAGGUUGAUAGGUUAAUAGCCUAUCAAAUUGACGUUAAUCACAGAAGAAGCACCGGCUAACUCCGUGCCAGCAGCCGCGGUAAUACGGGGGGUGCGAGCGUUAAUCGGAAUAACUGGGCGUAAAGGGCACGCAGGCGGUGACUUAAGUGAGAUGUGAAAGCCCCGAGCUUAACUUGGGGAAUUGCAUUUCAUACUGGGUCGCUAGAGUACUUAGGAGGUGAUCAUGUGCGUNAUNNNAGNUNCGUAGUACCCUACGUAGGUGACGUCGCUCCCACGACGCGGCCGCGUCGACCGCGGUAAGACGGAGGAUGCAAGCGUUAUCCGAUGCUGAUUCCUCUGGUACCGUCAGGUUGCUUUCACAACUUUCUUCCCAGAGAAAAGGG
rnacentral:rRNA from 1 species